UUCAAACAAUUUUAAGUUUAAACAAUUUCUUGAAAAUAUAUAUUUAGUAUAGCACUUUUAAAGAGUGUGUCGACAUUAAUUAACAUACCAGAAAAAUGGAACUUUCAGAUGUUAUGAAAAAAUUAACAUUAAAACCAGCUGGGUAUGAUUUUCGUCAAAAGUCAUUUAAAUCAGUGGAGGUUGAUAUUGAUGAUGUACCAACAGAAGUUAUAAUUAUAGAGUACAUUGAUAAAACAUUAUUAGUUGUGUCUCAAUAUCAAAAAACUGGGAGUCUGUUAAUGUUUCAUAGACCUCAAGUGAACAGUCCUUUCGGUCUAGACAAUACUUAUACAAUAAGAGUUAUUUUUGGUGAUGCAGGAGAGGAACAGCGGGUAACAGCAAGAUAUCUAGCAGAAGCAAUGAAUAACACGAAGCCACUUUGCAUCUUUAUAAACUUAAAGUCAUAUGAUGUUGAGACUGUAAACACUUGCAAAGACCUGAUAUUUGAUCUUAAGCGGCAAGAAAGUAAGUAAUAUAAUGGUAUGUUUAACAAGUUCAAGACUGUAAAUAAAUACUAUUGGGCGCCUGGCUCUUGGUCCAUCUGGUGCAGGAAAACCACUAUAUAACAGUCAUAUAUCAAAGUUAUUGGAAAGUAUAAAAAUAAAAGUAGUUUUAGUAAACUUGGAUCCAAGAUGUUUUAGACUUAGACUGUCUGCUAGAUAACAAGCAUUUGCAUAUAAAUCAAUCAAAUGACAAAUUUACAUAUAAAUAGAAAAGCUUAACAGUGCAAUCAUUUAUUAUUAUUGAAAAAUAUAUUUAGUUUCCUUUCAACAUGAUGCAAAGUUAAUGUAGUGCAAAAAAUGUAGUAGAUAAAGCUCAUGGAUAUGUUUUUAAAUCUGAUGAAGGUAGACAUAUUAACAGUAUGUUGGCAUGUGCUAUGGGCUUAAGUGAUAAACAUGAAUCUGAAUAAACAAUGUACUAAUUGA